GGAGGAUGCAAGCGUUAUCCGGAAUGAUUGGGCGUAAAGCGUCCGCAGGUGGCAGUGUAAGUCUGCUGUCAAAGGUCGGGGCUCAACCCUGAACAGGCAGUGGAAACUACACAGCUAGAGUGCGGUGGGGGCAGAGGGAAUUCCCAGUGUAGCGGUGAAAUGCGUAGAGAUUGGGAAGAACACCGGUGGCGAAGGCGCUCUGCUAGGCCGCAACUGACACUCAUGGACGAAAGCUAGGGGAGCGAAUGGGAUUAGAUACCCCAGUAGUCCUAGCCGUAAACGAUGGAUACUAGGCGUAGCUCGUAUCGACCCGAGCUGUGCCGUAGCUAACGCGUUAAGUAUCCCGCCUGGGGAGUACGCUCGCAAGAGUG
rnacentral:rRNA from 1 species